AAGAGACCGCGGGGGUGGAAAAGGCCGCUCGCUCGAGAUUGCGCGCGCCCCCAAAUCAAGACUAAGUAGCCCUGCCACUGAAAAGGUUGAAAAUCAGUGAAAAAUGCAAAUAAAUGACUCUAGUAGAAGACUAAAUUCAUUGUAUGCCCUUGAGCAAGGGUUGAGCUCCUCAGUCAAAGAAGAGAGUCACCUUUUCCAGAAGAGAAUGCAGCUCAAGGGGAAUGCAGGUGGGGCAGUGAAGGAGAAAGAGAUUCCUAGAAGCCUCGAGUGGGGGAACCAGCAUCACUACCAGAUUCCCUCAUGUCUGCAGUGUGAAGUGGUGGCAAGAGCCCCCCACAUUGGGACCCAGAAAACCUGUGAUAAAAUCCAAGCUGUUUUCAGAUGUGUAGCCUUUACCAUUUUGAGCCUCAGUUUUCUUAUUUCUAAGUAAGCAUAAAUAUCUUCCUGCCUACCCUAUAGGGUUACUGUGAAAUUACAUUUAUAUCAUGUAUAUGAAUGUUCAUGUAUAUACUGGAAAGCAAAAUAAAAAUAUAAAAUAGCAUGAAAAAA
rnacentral:lncRNA from 1 species